GACGAACGCUGGCGGCGUGCCUAAUACAUGCCAGUUGAGCGAUGACGUCUGGUGCUUGCACCAAUUUGAAGAGCAGCGAACGGGUGAGUAACGCGUGGGGAAUCUGCCUUUGAGCGGGGGACAACAUUUGGAAACGAAUGCUAAUACCGCAUAACAACUUGAAACAUAAGUUUCAAGUUUGAAAGAUGCAAUUGCAUCACUCAAAGAUGAUCCCGCGUUGUAUUAGCUAGCUGGUGAGGUAAAGGCUCACCCAGGCGAUGAUACAUAACCGACCUGAGAGGGGGAUAGGACACGUUGGGCCGGGAACACGACCCAAAAUCCUGGGAGAGGCAGCAGGAGGGAAUCUUCGGGAGUGGAAGAAAGUCUGAACCAGCAGCGCCGCGUGAGUGAAGGAGGUUUUCGGAUCGUAAAACUCUGUUGGUAGAGAAGAACGUUGGUGAGUGUGGAAAGCGCAGAAAGUGACGGUAACUACACAGAAAGGGACGGCUAACUACGUG
rnacentral:rRNA from 1 species